rnacentral:rRNA from 1 species
AUUGAACGCUGGCGGCAGGCCUAACACAUGCAAGUCGAACGAGUGGCGGACGGGUGAGUAAUGUCUGGGAAACCGCCUGAUGGAGGGGGAUCACUACUGGAAACGGUAGCUAAUACCGUAUACCAUCAGAUGCGCCCAGAUGGGAUUAGCUAGUAGGUGGGGUAAUGGCUCACCUAGGCGACGAUCCCUAGCUGGUCUGAGAGGAUGACCAGCCACACUGGAACUGAGACACGGUCCAGACUCCUACGGGAGGCAGCAGUGGGGAAUAUUGCACAAUGGGCGCAAGCCUGAUGCAGCCAUGCCGCGUGUGUGAAGAAGGCCUUCGGGUUGUAAAGCACUUUCAGCGAGGAGGCGUUACUCGCAGAAGAAGCACCGGCUAACUCCGUGCCAGCAGCCGCGGUAAUUC